GGCCAGUUAGCUCAGUCAGUUGAGUGUGGCGCUAAUAACGCCUAGGUCACGGGUUCGAUUCCCGUUUGGUCU
rnacentral:tRNA from 1 species